rnacentral:miRNA from 1 species
AUUUCUAGGACAUACUACGACGGU